AGAGGCUGGGGUGAUACAGCUAUAAACCAAGGGACCCCAAGUGUUGCCAGGAAACCCCCAGAAGCCAGGACAAAACAAAGUAGGAUCCUUCCCUAGAGAUUUCAGAGGGACCAUGGCCCUACUAACACCUUGAUUUUAGACUCGUGACCCCCAGAACUGUGAGAUAAUACAUUCCUGUGGUUUAAAGCCACCCAGUUUAUGGUGCUUUGCCAAGGCAGCUCCAGGAAAUGGAACAAAAGCUGAGCCCAGGCUGCAGGUAACAAACUGUCCAUGCUGGCAGGUGGCAGAGGGGGAAGGACAGGCAGAGAGGGCCGCAUGGAGGAGGCACCUCCUUUAGUUGUGCCUGAGGUUCAGGCAGAAGGCCCAGAGAACAGAAGUGAAACUAGAGGCUCAGCAUGGCUCCUGGUAGAAUUGGCUUUAAUGGCUCAAGUUUUUUCAUCUUUGCUUCCUCCAACUUGCCUGGAACAGGUACUGCACACGGUAGGUGCCCAUUACGUGCUUAGUGUUUAUGGAUGAGCUCUGCAUGUGGGAAAACAAACGACAUGAUUGGCCAGUUGGCCUGGAGAGAGCUAGCCCAGCUUUAUUUAAAAAGCCAUUCAGAGGCGGCUGCUAUGUGCUGAGUUGGCAGAGAAGCAUCAGGCCUCUGAAAGUCAGCAAUAAAGAGUCGGCUUACCGAGGCCACAUGCUGAGCCCAUAAUCCCACUUCAGAAGCUGUAGCUUUAGCCUGAGCAUGACCCGACACAUGAAAUUGCUUGGCUCUUCCCAGUAGCCAGAGCCACGGAGCACAGGAGUGAGAGGCCAGCCACAGAGGAGGGUGGAUAUCUGUGUACCGCGUGGGAUUCUGUGUGUCGCAGCGCCAGGCCUGGCAUAGAAGUCAGUGGUCAGCACUGGGGCUGGGGACUUGACUGAGCUGUUGACAGGCCUGUUGAUCACUUGCCCAGUGGCCUGCCACCUCCUGUUAGGAGCUAGCUGGUACCGGGCAGGGAAGUCCCUCUGUGAGGAUCUAGCAUGACCAGUCCACUGAAAUUCCUUCAGGCACGUAGAGGACUUUAUAGUCUACCUGGCUUCCUCCCAGGACCCAGGGAUUGGCUCAGCUAGGCAGCUGGUGAGCUAGAGAAAUGGGAAUGACCCUCCACAUCAGCCUGACACCGGGUAUUAAAUCACUGCACCAAGUAUGUCAACACAACGCCCAGGUGGCCGCUGGACAAUAAGGCCACAGGGCCCCAGAGAGUGGCUGGACUUUGCUGUCUCGUCUGUACCUUGUGUGAGAGCUUGAGACUCAGAGGAGCCCGUGGGGCACAUGGAGGUGAACUUAGUCCCAGAUACAUUGUAUGGACGUGGUCAUGGGACACCAGUACUCAACAGGUAGGUGCUCUCCAGGGGGGCCCAUGACACAGGCCUGGCCAGGGAAGGCCCUAGGGACUUUCCAGAACUGGCCUGAGUUCCCGGCUUCCUAAGAGGAACAAUGCCGGGAGGAAGGGAGCAGUGGGACCCCAGCCAUAGACAGUACAUCCUGUCCAUGGGCUCACAACAGGCUUCGAAAUAAACAAGUGUUGUUGUCCCCAGUUAAACUUCUGUUUCCCUUCCACAGGGAACUCUCAGCUGCAGGCUCCUGGCCUGAGCAGACCUUCUCAGAAUGGCCAAAGUGCCUGUCCUCAGGAGCCAGGACUCCAGCUCAAUCUUAGCUACAAGACUCCAACCAAAAUCUUGGGGGGGAUAGAGGCCACAUUCUGUCCCUGCAGGAGGCCUCUCAGGCUCCCUGAGAACCUGUUUCUAGUUCUCUAGUGGAUUUCAGUUGACAGAACUCUCUACUUCAGCAUCCCUGGGUCCCAGGGCUGAAGCUGCAUCUAAGAACCUGAGCCCUGAAGGCCAGGGCGGGUUUGCUGACAGAGGCGCAGGGCCAUCUGAUGUCAGACCUGAAAGGGCCCCAGGGCCAGUCCAAGCCUAGACCAUCUCCACUGUGGGAGAAUAGGGGGUAGGUCUGGAGACAGAAAGGGGUCCUCUUUCUUUCUACAUGGGUCUUGGCUGUGCAGUUACUGGCCCGAUGACCACACUGGGCCUGGGACUCUAUGCCUCCUCUGCCUUGGUUGGCAUAGUGAGGAGUGACCAGAAUCCUCCCCUUCCCCUACCCUAAGCAGCAGCCUGGGUGACUGGGGCAGGGCAGCUUCCCUGGCUGAGUCCAUUGUUUUAAAGGACAAUCCUCUCCCCCUCUCCCCUCCCUGGUGGUCUGCCAUCAGCCUAGGCACAGAAAAGAACAUCACUAACACAGGCUGGAAUGGGUCACAGGCACAGGCUUUAUCAGGCGACAAGGAUCAUUGAUUGGCCAUGAGUCGCAGUCCUGUGGGUGAAGAACAAGCCACAGAUACUGGAGCAUCAAUAUCUGGGGGUCUUUGUGAUGGUGUCCAGAGAGUCCAGACCACUGAGGAGGUGGCGUCCACAGUGGAUGAAUACACAACGGGCAGGGAGGGGACAAAGCCCAGAGGAGAGCUGGAGCCACCUCUCGGAGGAAGACCUGGCCCCAUCCCCUCCCCACUCCUACUGAGACCUUCCGCUGCAGUCAGCAAGGGAUGCAGGGCCCGGGGCUGAGUGCUGGGAAGGAGGGGCGGGUGUGAAGGGGGAAGGCAAAUGGGUGGAGCCGGUGCUGGAGCUGUCCCAGAGCUGGCUCAGAGCCCUGGGGAGGGAGCUGACCCUCUGAGCCUGGGUUAAGACGGAGGAGGAGGGAGUCAGCUCUCGACCCCAAAACCACCUGUUUCCUCUCACUCUAGCACUGGUGGAGGGGAAGCUGCUCAGGACAGGGCGCCACAGCUGGAGAGGGACGUGAUCAGAUGCAGGACAGAGCAGACAGGUCCUGGCACGGGCCAGGAGCUGAGACACUCAACACUGAUGGCUGCAAACCACCCGCACCAUCAGCCGGGGGCUCCCUCAGGGCUGGCUUUGGUGUCUAUCAGAAAAGGGUCUGAGGUCCUAGUCCCACCCGCUCAAUGCUUCUGCCAGGCAGGACAGGGCCAAGGAGCAAUAGUGGUUGCAUUUCCUUUAAAACUACUGUUUCAUUAAAAAACAAAACAAAACAAAACAAAAAACUAGCUCUGAACAUGAAGAAUUAUAUCCAAGAAAGACACCUUGACAUUUUUUGCUUUAUUAAACAUCAUUCACUGAGAAUUUCCAAAGCACUGUGUGGUGCCUAGACCUGUGUACCAGCGCUCUGGGGGUCGGGAGAAGUCUAAGGCACGGGCCCUGCCCUGGCGCACGGCUCCUUCUCCCUGGGAAGGCAGCUCCACUGGUGAAAGGCCACUGACCAAGUCCAGACCCUGAGGACGACGAAGGCUGGGAGCCCUGCCCAGGCCCCAG
rnacentral:lncRNA from 10 species